UGUGUGCCUGGCGGAACCCAGGCCUGUGGCCAAAUAUGGUUAUAGGAAGCACUCGAAGAGCAUGUUGAUCAGUGUGUGUAACUUGUGUAUGUGUUAACAACAGAAUGUGGAGCUGUGCAUUUGCUGAGAAGAACAUGAUUACUGUAUAACUGAUGUAUGUGAUUACAAGAGUUAGACGGUGUCUAAACCUUAUGACUUAGGCAAGUGAGCGUACAGAUAAUGUGUGUGUAUUAGAGGAUGAGACUAUAAAAGAGACAGAGAAAGACACUGAAUUCGGAGUUCUCCCCCAGAGGGGGAGAUGCUGCUCGCCGGAGCUGCUGGAGAGCAUUGCCAAAGUUCUGAAGAGUCGACACCGGACCUUUUGCCCAAGAGACGUGGAGACAACGCAGGAUUUAGGCUCCAGAGUUUGCUGAGGACAUCGUUGGAAGCAAAGUUGUUCUAACUUUGUUCAACAAGCAAAGACCACACUCUGCCAGAUGGAGAGUCCUGAGAGGUCUGCAGUUAUCCAAAGAGAUGAAGAGAAGACAGCACCUACGACAUCCAGAGAGGCGAAGGAGGAGGCAGCAGAGGGCUGCUCCCCUCCCCGGGGCUGGAGGACCCAGCGACCCACCACAGCCUGGAGAGUGAGACAGCAGGAACGCCCGCACUUGUGUUCCAACUACUGCUGCUAAAGAUAACUGCCAGACCAACGAUUGGCUUUCGGGACCUCUCCACUCCCCCUGCUAAGGAAAGAACACUCUUCGCCCACAAAAAAGACUUCGUACCGAGUCUGCUGGUCUCCGGAGGAGUUCAACUAGACGCAGGUCAAGACCGGGCGUGGCGGCAACAGCUGAGCUGAGCGAGUAUUCCUCGACACCAGCUUAAAUAUUCUACUGAAUCCUGACAGCCACUCACUCACCUGAAACCCCCGAUCCAGCCUGCUGAGCCACUGAAAUGAUCCCUCUUCAGAAAAAUCCUCCAUCCAGGCUUUCAUGGGCAGCUGCAGAUGGAGAAACAACAAAGCAUCUGAAUGCAAAGUCCUGCUCACACGUACAGACGCUUGUGGAGGUCACCAGUGUUCAAACUCUGAGCUGUGAACUUUGGAUUUGUUUGCAGCUCAAACGUGAACCAGAAGCAAAGUGGCAGCAUUAGUAAACAAUCUAUUCACUUCCAAUCAUC